ensembl:ncRNA T20B5.4 ncRNA
GCCGCAAGAGCUCAAUGCUCUGGCGAGCCGCCACGCACUAACAAAAAACUCUUGUUGAACUCAUUUCAAGUGGAUUCCACUUCUCCAAUUUGAUGAUCACAGGGAGGGGAGAUAGGAGUGUAGAUGAGUGAAGAGAUAAAUGUUUGAAAAACUAGAUAGUAUAACUGGUUGCGAUAUCUUCGGCUUGAGGUGAUAACUGCUUUGUAAAUAGGUAAAUACUACAAAGUGAAAUUAUCAAGAGGUCAAAAAAC